GACGAACGCUGGCGGCGUGCUUAACACAUGCAAGUCGAACGGAAAGGCCCUGCUUUUGUGGGGUGCUCGAGGGGCGAACGGGUGAGUAACACGUGAGUAUCCUGCCCUUGAUUUUGGGAUAACUUCAGGAAACUGGGCCUAAUACCGGAUAGGAGCUCCUGCUGGAUGGUGGGGGUUGGAAAGUUUUGGCGGUUGGGGUUGGACUCGCGGCUUAUCAGCUGGUUGGUGGGGGGGUGGCUUACCAAGGCUUUGGCGGGUAGCCGGCCUGAGAGGGUGAACGGCCACAUUGGGACUGAGGUACGGCCCAGACUCCUACGGGAGGCAGCAGUGGGGAAUAUUGCACAAUGGGCGGGAGCCUGAUGCAGCAACGCCGCGUGCGGGAUGACGGCCUUCGGGGUGUAAACCGCUUUCGCCUGUGACGAAGCGGGAGUGACGGUAAUGGGUAAAGAAGCACCGGCUAACUACGUG
rnacentral:rRNA from 1 species